UCCUUUUGUUAAAACGAUUCAAACUUUCUUUUAAUAAAAUACCUUUUGUUUAUUAACCUUAAAAUCUGGUUUUAUGUUACUUCUUUCAUACCCCGAUAUCUGGUCAUAACAACCCCCAUCAGGCAAAUCUCCUAGCUCAAGUGAUGUGCAACUAACAGAGGAAGCAGUCCGGCGGUACCUGAUCCGUAAACCGAUGACCACCAAAGACCUGCUGAAGAAGUUCCAGACCAAGCGCACAGGUUUAAGCAGUGAGCAGACUGUCAAUGUGCUGGCACAGAUCCUGAAGCGCCUAAACCCAGAGCGCAAAAAUGUCAAUGACAAAAUGCACUUCUACCUCACUGAAUAACCGAUGGAAGGGAGGGAUGCAACGGGUGGCUGGGUGGGCGGUGAAGAGGAUUGAGAAGAGAAGGAGAGGCUGAAAAUGAAAACUGCAUUUUACCCCUGAAGGAGAGGUUUUGUGUUUAAUGUUGUGACAUGCCACAGUGUCAAGGAUUAAAAGCCACUUCAUGGGAGGCAUUUAUCAAAAAGUAUUUUGUUAUGUAUCUUGAAUUUGUUUUUCAUAGUCUGAAAUAUCUCUGUAAAUAACAGGAACAGUGUUAAUGAGUGAGCUGAGAACCUUCCCCAUUUCCCCAUUUCAUAUAAAAGACAACACCCACAAGAAGUGGUUUAAAUGUGAAUUUAUUAUGGAGACACUAGUGUGUGGAAUAGUGCAAUGUUAAUAGCAUUAGAUAAAAGUAUAGAAAAUCAUUUAUUUCUCAAUCUCAUUCUAAAUCAUUCAGUUUUAUUGGGAUAGAAUUACAUUAUUCAUAAAUCAUUACAUUAGAUAAGAAAGGUGUAAGUGAUAACCCUGAUGUGAAAUUCCAGAGAUUAAAAGAAGGCUUCAAUGUACUGAAGAAUAUGUCUAUGAUCGGUUAA